UGUGUUUGUUCAGGUCCCCAGCUCCAUGUGUAAUUCUUCUUGGUUAGUCGAGUAAGCGGUUCUGCUAUCUUUGAAAAGUUUGGAAUAAACUUCCUGAACCAAGAGCAUG
rnacentral:pre_miRNA from 1 species